AGUGACUUGACAAAUAGGUAGAUUUGGGAUUGGGUGCCUUGGGAAUAGCCAGCCGCAGCUACUAGAUAAAUCACCCUUGUUAUUUUGAUUUAACCCUUCCGCUGCACAGUAGAUUUUUGUCUCCUGCUACAAGUCAAGGCUGCCAUUGUAGCUGUCUUACAUGAAGGUCUCAAAUUUCUUUGGAGGCUGUUCAGCCAUGGUCCCCUCGGGUUUCACACCUGCUGUUGUAUAUGCCUGGACUCCAUUUUGCAGGGAUUACACUGAAUGUUCAAACACCACAGAAGGAAGAUGGUGCCAUCACUUUUCAUGCCUUGGAAAUGUAUGUUGAAUCAAGAUCCUCUAAACAACCUUUUGGUCAGGAAUGUGGUGGUUCUGGGGGUUAAACCCUAAGUGGUUCAAAAGGGGUAUAAAUAUGGCAAAUAAAUGAAUAAAACUG
rnacentral:lncRNA from 11 species